AGAGUUUGAUCCUGGCUCAGAUUGAACGCUGGCGGCAUGCCUUACACAUGCAAGUCGAACGGUAACAGGUCUUCGGAUGCUGACGAGUGGCGAACGGGUGAGUAAUACAUCGGAACGUGCCCGAUCGUGGGGGAUAACGAGGCGAAAGCUUUGCUAAUACCGCAUACGAUCUACGGAUGAAAGCGGGGGAUCUUCGGACCUCGCGCGGACGGAGCGGCCGAUGGCAGAUUAGGUAGUUGGUGGGAUAAAAGCUUACCAAGCCGACGAUCUGUAGCUGGUCUGAGAGGAUGAUCAGCCACACUGGGACUGAGACACGGCCCAGACUCCUACGGGAGGCAGCAGUGGGGAAUUUUGGACAAUGGGCGAAAGCCUGAUCCAGCCAUGCCGCGUGCAGGAUGAAGGCCUUCGGGUUGUAAACUGCUUUUGUACGGAACGAAAAGCCUCUUUCUAAUAAAGAGGGGUCAUGACGGUACCGUAAGAAUAAGCACCGGCUAACUACGUGCCAGCAGCCGCGGUAAUACGUAGGGUGCAAGCGUUAAUCGGAAUUACUGGGCGUAAAGCGUGCGCAGGCGGUUUUGUAAGACAGAGGUGAAAUCCCCGGGCUCAACCUGGGAACUGCCUUUGUGACUGCAAGGCUGGAGUGCGGCAGAGGGGGAUGGAACUCCGCGUGUAGCAGUGAAAUGCGUAGAUAUGCGGAGGAACACCGAUGGCGAAGGCAAUCCCCUGGGCCUGCACUGACGCUCAUGCACGAAAGCGUGGGGAGCAAACAGGAUUAGAUACCCCGGUAGU
rnacentral:rRNA from 1 species